CGAUUCACGACCGCUAUUCUACAAUUACCUUUUGCCUAACAUGAUCUCAAACGAAGACAUAAAUUUUUUUGGUUAUAAGGAUACCGAGACACACAGUGACGUCAAAAGUAUCAAUACAACAUGCAAGCUUUUCUUUUAUAAAUUCUACAAAUAAGAAAAAAAAAUUGUGGAAUCGUGGGAGUUUUGGUAGAAAUGAAAUUGAAAUUAUCUUCUACAGACCGUUUGGAAGUCACAUCAGAAUGCUACAUAAAAAAUGAUAUACAUAACUUAUACCUCUUUCAUUAACAAAAAUAUAUAUAUAUGUAAACAACCCGAACUAUUACCAUAAAAUAAUAUAAAAAAAACUCUACAAUUUGCCGUACGUAUUUCAUUCAACGUCUGUAUUAUUUACAAGAAAAUGGAAAACAAUAAGAAUUGUUCCCCGAGAAGGAAAAAAAAUAGUGGUAUGUAGCCGAAAAUUAAGACAAAACACAAACAAUAGGAAUUUAAAAACAGUUGUCCAACAUUAUGGACAAAUAAUAAAAUGAGCAUGACCAUAAGUAUCCUCGCCUUCGUGUAGAAGCUUGACCCUGUUGUGGCAUGGAGAAGGGUCAGAAGGCGGCACCGGCCCUCUCGGAAGCUCGUUUUGGAUGGAGCUAUAGAACCCCAUCUCCUUAACCUUCAUCGCUCGCCCCAUUGCAGCCAUUUCUGCAAGUAGAAUAAAAAGAAGAAAUGCAACCCUUAUAAUAUUCUUCUUGAUCAUCACAUUAAAGGACAUGGCUGCAACUAAACUCUAGCUAGUUUAAAUUUCUUUCUUCAAUUUCUUGGUGAUCGCGCGAUGGAUCCACUCCACCGUGUGGAUGGAACAAGUAUAUAUUUAUGUGUAGUGGUGAUCAGGCAUGAAAAUUAAUGUACAGAAAAAUGAGAGUCCUAUUUGUGUAUAUAUAUAUAUAUAUAUAUAUAUAGAGAGAGAGAGAGAGAGAGAGAGAGAGAGAGAGAGAGAGAGAGAGAGGANN
rnacentral:lncRNA from 1 species